CAUAUAUAUAUAUAUAGUUAAAAUAUCAAUACUACAGUCUAAAUAUCAGGAGAGCAAAUCAAUAUG